CGGCCGCCGAGCGCGCUCUUUCCGCCCCCUUCUCGCGCGUGAGCGCGCCCUAUCGGCUCCUGGCGCGUCAACAUUCCGCGGGCCAGGCCUUGGGGCGCGUCUGAGGAGGGGGAUGUCUGUGGCCUCUCCGCCCACACUUCCUCCACCCACCGCCCACAGCGCCCCAGAAGGACCUAUUACUCGUUUGGCUUCUGAAGGCCGAAGCCAGGCUCUGGCGGGGAUAGAACCCUGAAGGGCCUGCGCCAGCUCCAACUUAGGGCCCUUAUCUUUUGCUGCCUCUUACGUAUUGUAGGCAGUGCCUGAUGGCUGAGAAGAAUCGCAGAGGACUAGAAAAGGUUUGAGUCUGAAAUUAUCUGGCACAGAGGAUUAAAGCUCAGAAAUAAGUGAUUGCGAAACAGUUCAACUUCCCUGUUAAUGACAACAACAACAGCAACACGCUUAUUAAUUCCUAGCUGGAGCAUCAAGCUUAUGAAGAUUUCCAAGACUUUAUUGUUGACCCUUGUUGAAGAGAACUCUACUUGGCUUCUUUCCUGGCUUUCCUAAAUUGUUCACAUACAAGAUAAACUACCGUCAUUCAGACUUACAGAAGUGAGAAGACAAGCUGAACCAAAUGUAAAAUGGUAGCAAUUUACAGGUAAUUCUGUAUCUUAAUUUCUCCCACAUUUUUAGGGUAAAAAAUUGUGAUAUAUGGGGGUUAUUUGGAUCAAGUGUUUUCUAAGUAGAACUUUGUCAUAAUUAAUUUUAUGUAUUUAUAGUA
rnacentral:lncRNA from 1 species